rnacentral:lncRNA from 1 species
CUUUUCGAGGUAGGAGUCGACUCCUGUGAGGUAUGGUGCUGGGUGCAGAUGCAGUGUGGCUCUGGAUAGCACCUUAUGGACAGUUGUGUCCCCAAGGAAGGAUGAGAAUAGCUACUGAAGUCCUAAAGAGCAAGCCUAACUCAAGCCAUUGGCACACAGGCAUUAGACAGAAAGCUGGAAGUUGAAAUGCUCCUGGUAACGUUUUUAUCCAUGGAUGACUUGCUUGGGUAAGGACAUGAAGACAGUUCCUGUCAUACCUUUUAAAGGUAUGGAGAGUCGGCUUGACUACACUGUGUGGAGCAAGUUUUAAAGAAGCAAAGGACUCAGAAUUCAUGAUUGAAGAAAUGCAGGCAGACCUGUUAUCCUAAACUAGGGUUUUUAAUGACCACAACAAGCAAGCAUGCAGCUUACUGCUUGAAAGGGUCUUGCCUCACCCAAGCUAGAGUGCAGUGGCCUUUGAAGCUUACUACAGCCUCAAACUUCUGGGCUCAAGUGAUCCUCAGCCUCCCAGUGGUCUUUGUAGACUGCCUGAUGGAGUCUCAUGGCACAAGAAGAUUAAAACAGUGUCUCCAAUUUUAAUAAAUUUUUGCAAUCCA